UAACUGAUUUCUUGACAUUGG
rnacentral:misc_RNA from 1 species